UAGGGAAUCUUCCGCAAUGGACGCAAGUCUGACGGAGCAACGCCGCGUGAGUGAAGAAGGAUUUCGGUUCGUAAAACUCUGUUGUUAGAGAAGAACAGCGCAUAGAGUAACUGUUAUGCGUGUGUCGGUAUCUAACCAGAAAGCCACGGCUAACUACGUGCCAGCAGCCGCGGUAAUACGUAGGUGGCAAGCGUUGUCCGGAUUUAUUGGGCGUAAAGCGAGCGCAGGCGGUCAAUUAAGUCUGAUGUGAAAGCCCCCGGCUCAACCGGGGAGGGUCAUUGGAAUCUGGUUGACUUGAGUGCAGAAGAGGAGAGUGGAAUUCCAUGUGUAGCGGUGAAAUGCGUAGAUAUAUGGAGGAACACCAGUGGCGAAGGCGACUCUCUGGUCUGUAACUGACGCUGGGGCUCGAAAGCGUGGGUAGCAAACAGG
rnacentral:rRNA from 1 species